rnacentral:rRNA from 1 species
UACGUAGGGGGCUAGCGUUGUCCGGAUUGACUGGGCGUAAAGCGCACGCAGGCGGCCGUGCACGUGGGGUGUGAAAGCUGGCGGCUUAACUGCCAGACGCCACCUCAUACGGCACGGCUCGAGCCCGUGAGAGGUCCACGGAAUUGCCGGUGUAGUGGUGAAAUGCGUAGAGAUCGGCAGGAACACCCAGGGGGAAACCAGUGGACUGGCACGGUGCUGACGCUCAGGUGCGAAAGCGUGGGGAGCGAACCGG